GUCUUUUUGAAUUUAAUAUAAAGUCUGAUCUGCCCCCUGAUUUAUUAAAUGGCCGCAGUAUAUUAACUGUGCAAAGGUAGCAUAAUCAUUAGUUUUUUAAUUGGAGACUUGUAUGAAUGAUUGGACGAGAUAUGGGCUGUUUCAAGAAAAUAGAUAGAAUUUUAUUUUUUAGUUAAAAAGCUAAAAUUUUUUUAAAAGACGAGAAGACCCUAUAGAUCUUUAUAAUAAAAAAUUUAUUAGUUUAUAGGAUUUAUUUUACAAUAAUUUUUUUAUUAUUUUAUUGGGGUGAUAUUGAAAUUUGAUAAACUUUUGAUUAAUAUUUAUUCCGUUGAUUUAUGAAUAAAUGAUCCAUUUUUAGUGAUUAAAAAUUUAAGUUACCUUAGGGAUAACAGCGUAAUUAUUUUGGAGAGUUCUUAUCGAUAAAAUAGUUUGCGACCUCGAUGUUGGAUUAAGAUUAAUUUUAGGCGUAGUAGUUUAAUGUAUUAAGUCUGUUCGACUUUUAAUUUCUU
rnacentral:rRNA from 1 species